UUACCAUCUUCCAUUUGUAUUAUCAUUUUAUUAAAUAUUUAUUUCUUCAUCAAAAAUAUAAUUUAUUUUGCAACGUAUAAAAGCUAUGUACGUGUUGAUUAGCAUUACUUCCAAAAUGGUUGCUUGUGAAUGUCCCUAGUAUAUAGUGACUUUUAUUAAUGUCGAAUUUAUUAUUUAUCUAUUAAUUAUUUGUAAUUUUAUUUUAGUAGUUGACGUAUAAUUGAAGUGGGAAUAAUAUUAUUUGUAUUUAUUUUAGUGUAUAUAAUUAUUGCAUGUAUUUCAUUGCGCAUGCGUAGAAGCUACUUCAUGUUUGUGACAACCCAAAAUGGCCGUUUGUGAAUGUCUCCAAUAAGGGGAAACCAACUUCCGGAUGGAGUCUCACCCAUGGACUAUCCAAUAGUUUCUGAAGAAUCGUUAUCGUGUUGUUGCGUCCGACUAAUCCGUUCUGCCUACCAAUUGCAUACUAUUUUCGUUUGCCAAGAUUGUUAUGACACUUUGGAUCCGGACGAUCAAGACUUGUACGAAGAUCCGCCAACCCACUUCCUAUGUGGAAUACCAGGGCGAAUUAAAGCAAUGCAUUGCCGAUUAUGCGAUAUAUAUGUAUCACAGCUACAACCUGCGACAUCCUGUGCCGAAUGCAUAAAUGCCUAUCUGGAUCUAACCCAGAAUGGGUGUUGAAUCUGUUAAUCAGGGAAACCAAUUGUUAUCCUAUUGUUGCGUCCAGCUAAUCUGCCCUGCGUACUACUUCAAUAAUUUCUUCCUUUGGCAAUAUUGUUAUGACACUUUGGAUACGAAUGACUAAGAGCUGCACAAGGUUCCGCCAACUCACUUCCUGUGCGGAAUACCAGAGCGAAUUAGAGUAAUGCACUGCCGAUUAUGCGAUGUAUAUCUAUCACAACUACAACCUGCGGCAUCCUGUCCCGAAUAUAUAGACGCUUACCUUGAUCUAACCCAGACCGAAAGAAACUUCCUGGCCUAAGGAAUAAUAACUCGCCUUGUUGAUCGCUAAAUAACCACACACACACAUAUAUAUAUAUAACCGUAAAAAAAAAUUUAUAUUAAUGGACACUAGAGUGUAAGAACAUGUUGAAUAAAUUGUUGACAGGAAAAUGAA